UAAUGGUUCACUCUAAAAUGUUGAAUGAAUGCAGCCAUUACUUCCUUUUUAGUUGUGUUUUGUGUGUGGUUUGUGCGUGUUAGCUUAUUUUCACACUACUCACUGCUGCAAAAGCAGUUUUAAUGAUAUAUUUUUAAUUUUCUGUUCAAGUGGAUAUCACGUGUGGCUCGGCACACCAGCUGGACGAAACACUGCAUCUAGAGCAAAGGUAGUUGAAUGUGUGUUUAUGAAUGUGCAGACCUGUACACGCACACACACGGCGCCCUGUGCUCUGUGUCAGGCCGUCAGCUUCUUCCCCUCCCCCUCAACAUCUCACUCCCCUUUUUUGUCCCCCUCGCCAUCUCCUUUUCCCUCCUGCUCGCUCUCCCCUGACUGUUAGCACUAUUUCAAGCCUCUGCCUAGGGGAGAGAGAGAGAGAGAGGUGGAGACACACAGAUGCGCAGUUAGAGUGAGAGGGAGGGGAGGGGAAAGCAGAGAGGAUUUAGAGUUCAAGUGCACGUGCAGAAAAUAGGCUGAAUAGGGGAGAGAUGAAGCAGAAAGGAAAUCAGGAAAAGGAACAGCAGCAGAGACAAAGCAUUAACCCAGAGAUAACCAGCACAUCUUUACUGAAGAAAUGAUAAUUUAUAGGGACGUGAUCCAGUCAAGAUUGCGCCGACAUUUCAAGAAGGAAACGGAUGAAACAAGAUGUCGGACUGCAUCAGCAUCGGUAACGCGCUUCCAUAACAAUUCCAGGAUGUAACAACUCUGUAACCCAUAUUUAAAACAAAUUAAUU